CGACAAAAAGUCCGCGGAGCCGUUCUCUGCUUGCUGUCUCCUGCGCAGCUGUCAAACCAACGGUGACAAGUGACGGGAGAGUUGACUGCGCAGACGCAGACGCGGAGCUGCUUCGGCAGGACUAGACCGUGGCUUGUAGGCGGUGCCUGGUCCUCUUGUGUACACUUCUUUCUUGUUGCUGCUGCUGUUGCUGCUGCUGCUUUUGCUGUGGGAUGAGCGUACCACCAGAAUAUGAGUAUUUUAAGUCCAACAGUGAUCUACAGACGCAACAUCCAGACACAUAGGCAGACACAACGUCCAAGGACAGGUGCUGACCCUGUGAAUGUGUCUUCUGCUGCCCAGUCUACUGUAUACACUGAAGAAGGGGACCUCUAGCCCCGGUCCUGAUAUUAACCCCGCUCCUCGCCUAUACUGAGUCCAGCACGUGGAUGGAAGAGGACAAAUUUUUUUCCAUGAGAGAAAUACUUUCAAAGAUUACGCAGAAGAGAAGAAGAAACAGGUCCACACAGUCUUAAAAAUGCACUCCAGCAAAUAAAUUUCAAGCUUUGAUUGGAACUUUUUAAGUGCUGGCACUCCAGGUACCUAUCUUUCACUAAAGUCGGAUUGAUGCCUCACUGGUCAAAUGGAGGCAAAGUUGGAUUCUUUAUGACUAUGCCAACACCAAACUCUGCCUGUUCCUAUCAAAGCUAAAAAGGCUUUGAGUACAGGCUGGUGAUACAUACUUUACGUAUGUCUGACGACUAACCUGGCUAAAGCCCGAGAGAUUCAUCAUGAGCUUGGUCACAACAAGGUGAUUCAGUUUUUUGCUCAUAGCAAUUCUUGAACAUCUGUAAAUUCAGGGGAGUUGUGAUCUGCACCUGUAGAAUGAGUUCCACAUUGAUGAAAUAAAUUGUCCUUGAAUCUAGGUACCACUAGUCCAUUGGAUGCCAAAUUCCAGGCUGACUUAGGCAGAGUCCUGGGGGAAAUAUGGGGCAAGGACCAUCUUUUGCCAUGAAUCUGAUACAUUGUGGAUAGAGAAAGGAUUUUUGUGUCAGGUCCAAGAUGUACCUAAAUUUCCAUUGUCCUUGCUAGGACUCUCCAGCUCUUGGGCCCUCUCAGCUGCUGAGCCAUGGCUGGAUACCUUUGCUGGGAUUAUUUGUAGGGUCAUAGCCUCUGUGUCUAGGAUAAGACCCAAGCUGGAGCACGACUGAGCAAGAACCAAUGGGAGCCCUUUUAGAAUCGGAGUGUGAAAGACUGAAGUAUUCCUAUCUCUUUUUCUGGCUCAGAUUUGCCCCCUAUUCCCAAAAAGGCUCUAGCCCCUCCUCCAGCCCCUAGUCUG